rnacentral:rRNA from 1 species
UACGGAGGAUCCAAGCGUUAUCCGGAAUUACUGGGCGUAAAGAGUUGCGUAGGUGGCAUAGUAAGUCGGUAGUGAAAGCGUGGGGCUCAACCCCAUACACAUUAUCGAAACUGCUAAGCUUGAGGACGAGAGAGGCAUCUGGAAUUCCUAGUGUAGGAGUGAAAUCCGUAGAUAUUAGGAGGAACACCGAUGGCGUAGGCAGGGUGCUGGCUCGUUUCUGACACUAAGGCACGAAAGCGUGGGGAGCAAACGGG